rnacentral:rRNA from 1 species
AUGAAGUGGCGCCAAGCUUCUGGCAUUCUCUGUGACAAGAGAGUGCCACAAAAGCUAAAAGGCAAGUUCUACAGGACGGCGGUUCGACCCGCAAUGUUGUAUGGCGCGGAGUGUUGGCCGACUAAAAGGCGACAUGUUCAACAGUUAGGUGUGGCGGAGAUGCGUAUGUUGAGAUGGAUGUGUGGCCACACGAGGAAGGAUCGAGUCCGGAAUGAUGAUAUACGAGAUAGAGUUGGGGUAGCACCAAUUGAGGAGAAGCUUGUCCAACAUCGUUUGAGAUGGUUUGGGCAUAUUCAGUGCAUGCCUCCAGAAGCUCCAGUGCAUAGCGGACGGCUAAAGCGUGCGGAGAAUGUCAAGAGAGGGCGGGGUCGACCGAUUUUGACAUGGGAGGAGUCCGUUAAGAGAGACCUAAAGGAUUGGAGUAUCGACAAAGAGCUAGCUAUGGACACGGGUGCGUGGAAGCUUGCUAUCCAUGUGCCAGAGCCAUGA